UACGAAGGGGGCUAGCGUUGCUCGGAAUCACUGGGCGUAAAGCGCACGUAGGCGGAUUCUUUAAGUCAGGGGUGAAAUCCUGGAGCUCAACUCCAGAACUGCCUUUGAUACUGGGACGACUCGUCGAGUCCGGGAGAGGUGAGUGGAACUGCGAGUGUAGAGGUGAAAUUCGUAGAUAUUCGCAAGAACACCAGUGGCGAAGGCGGCUCACUGGCCCGGUACUGACGCUGAGGUGCGAAAGCGUGGGAGCAAACAGGG
rnacentral:rRNA from 1 species